GAGUAGUGGCGAGCGAAAGCGGAGGAUGGCUAAACCGUAUGCAUGUGAUACCGGGUAGGGGUUGUGUGUGCGGGGUUGUGGGACCUUAUUUUCCGGGGCUACCUUCCUGGAGGGCAGUGAGAAAGUGUCGUGGUUAGCGGAAAUGGCUUGGGAUGGCCUGCCGUAGACGGUGAGAGCCCGGUACGUGAAAACCCGACACCUGCCUUGAUUUGUGUUCCCGAGUAGCAGCGGGCCCGUGAAAUCUGCUGUGAAUCUGCCGAGACCACUCGGUAAGCCUGAAUACCUUCUGAUGACCGAUAGCGGAUUAGUACCGUGAGGGAAUGGUGAAAAGUACCCCGGGAGGGGAGUGAAAUAGUACCUGAAACCGUGUGCCUACAAGCCGUCAGAGCCCUCCUUCGUGGUGGGGUGAUGGCGUGCCUUUUGAAGAAUGAGCCUGCGAGUCAGGGACAUGUCGCGAGGUUAACCCGUGUGGGGUAGCCGCAGCGAAAGCGAGUCUGAAUAG
rnacentral:rRNA from 1 species